rnacentral:lncRNA from 1 species
AAUUAUCAAACUACUGAAAUGGCGUCACUCCCUGGAAUAAACUAAUAUGUAAUCAUUGCAAAUCUUAAAUUUCCUAUUUAGUUGUUGCUUGAGGCUACAAUAAUUCAUACGAAAAUCAAAAUAAUUCAUACGUAAACCAAAAAUAAUUCGUACGCAAAUAAAAAAUAACUCGUACGAAAAUAAAAAAAUAAUUCACGCCUCAUCAUCCCCAGUUGAACGCCGAACAUAGCGCCGCCGCCAAAUCCAGACGCCGAGCAGCAGUGCCGCCACCACCACUGCUCACGCCUCUUCACACCACCUCACACCAGGUAUAUCUCUCACGCCUCUCACAUCAGGUUUCUUCGUCAUUCAUCCUCACACCACCCCUGUCCGCCACUCCUGCACAUAGUGCCGCCGCCAGAUCCAGACGACGAGCAGCAGCGCUGCCACCACCACUGCUCACGCCAAUCCAUCCCCGUCCAUUGUCGCGUCGUCCAGAUGCGAUUCAGAACCACCGCGCCACUCUUCACCAGGACGUGCGACGACAACCGUCCUCUACCUGUGCCGAUUGUCAGGUGUUUCUGGAACAAAAAAACUUUUCCAAAAAAUAAUAGAGAACAUGCGAUUCAUCUCACCCGAUGUAUUACCCUUGGUCCGCGCCAUUGUCGUCGCCUUGUAAACGGAAUCAGAAUAUCACACUCGACGGAAAUGGAUGAACUUUAGGUUCUACUCCUCCACUGGCGCUCUUAUUUGGUUUUAGAGAAUAUGAGAAGAUGAGUUUUUGAUUCAAAUCUUCAAUUCCCUAAUUAAUUGUGAGAGAAUCGGAAAGUUGUGGGUGUAGAUAUGGAAGGUCAACAUAAUAUGUCAAUAAUACCCUUCUGUGAAACAAACGUAUGAAUAUUUUGUUUUAUCUAAUGAACUAUGCAAUCCACCUAAAAAUUAAUCCAAACCGUUGAUUACCAUAUUAUCUACGAUCAUAAAUAAGUCUUAUUUUAUAGACUAAGGACAGUUCAUUGAAUAGCACUACCCUAUAUAUA